rnacentral:lncRNA from 1 species
AAGUUGGGUUUCAUUUUGUAGUAAAGUACCCUAUGAUCAUCUUUUGGUACAUGAUGAUAAAUGAUGUAAAGAAAAGAAUGUAAUGUGUAUUUUGAGGUAAAUGUGAUGUAAGAAAGACAUGAUGAAAUGAUGUAAUGAAUGUAAGAAAUCGAUAAAUUACAAGUUGGAUGUAAUGUAUAUGAUCUAAACUGAAUCAUAGUACAGAAUAAAUGCUAGUUUCCUAUCUUUCACUCGUGGCUAUUUCUUACCCUCGUGUAAGCCGUUUGUGUAUGUU